rnacentral:rRNA from 1 species
UACAGAGGUCCCAAGCGUUGUUCGGAUUCACUGGGCGUAAAGGGUGCGUAGGUGGCCAGGUAAGUUUGGUGUGAAAGCUCGGAGCUUAACUCCGAAAAGUCAUUGAAUACUAUCUGGCUGGAGGGUCGGAGGGGAGACUGGAAUUCUCGGUGUAGCGGUGAAAUGCGUAGAUAUCGAGAGGAACACCUGCGGCGAAGGCGGGUUGCUGGGCUGACACUGACGCUGAUGUGCGAAAGCCAGGGGAGCGAACGGG